rnacentral:rRNA from 1 species
UACGGAGGGGGGCUAGCGUUGUUCGGAAUUACUGGGCGUAAAGCGCACGUAGGCGGCUUUGCAAGUUAGAGGUGAAAGCCCAGGGCUUAACCCUGGAAUUGCCUUUAAGACUGCAUCGCUAGAAUUGUGGAGAGGUAAGUGGAAUUCCGAGUGUAGAGGUGAAAUUCGUAGAUAUUCGGAAGAACACCAGUGGCGAAGGCGACUUACUGGACACAUAUUGACGCUGAGGUGCGAAAGCGUGGGGAGCAAACAGG